CGAGUGAAGCGGCAACAGCUCAAAUUUGAAAGCCCGCGGGCGUUGUAAUUUGCAGGCGGAUGUUUUGGGGCGGGCGCUGUCUACGUUCCUUGGAACAGGACGCCGCAGAGGGUGAGAGCCCCGUGCGAUGGCGCCUCUAACCGCGUAAAACUCCGCCGACGAGUCGAGUUGUUUGGGAAUGCAGCUCCAAGUGGGUGGUAAAUUCCAUCUAAAGCUAAAUACUGGCGAGAGACCGAUAGCGAACAAGUACAGUGAUGGAAAGAUGAAAAGCACUUUGAAAAGAGAGUGAAACAGCACGUGAAAUUGUUGAAAGGGAAGGGUAUGCGAUUAGCGGCCAGCAGGAGGUGCUUUCUCGUGAAAAGGCCGUGCACCGUCUUCGGACACCGUGCGCGGAGAUGACGAGGGGGCGCCUGAGGUCUGCGAACUCGAGGUUGCUGGCGUAAUGAUUGCAUACCACCCGUCU
rnacentral:rRNA from 1 species